rnacentral:rRNA from 1 species
CCUACGGGAGGCAGCAGUGAGGAAUAUUGGUCAAUGGGCGCGAGCCUGAACCAGCCAAGUCGCGUGAGGGAUGAAGGUUCUAUGGAUCGUAAACCUCUUUUAUAAGGGAAUAAAGUGUGGGACGUGUCCUAUUUUGUAUGUACCUUAUGAAUAAGGAUCGGCUAACUCCGUGCCAGCAGCCGCGGUAAUACGGAGGAUCCGAGCGUUAUCCGGAUUUAUUGGGUUUAAAGGGUGCGUAGGCGGCCUUUUAAGUCCGCGGUGAAAGUCUGUGGCUCAACCAUAGAAUUGCCGUUGAAACUGGGGGGGUUGAGUAUGUUUGAGGGAAGCGGGAAGGGGGGUGGAGGGGGUAAA